GGAAGAUGAAUAGUUAUCUGCCACCCCUUGCCUUUUAUCCCCAGAGCGAGGGUGGGGCCUUGCUAGCAGUGGUGGCCAAGGAUUGGCCCACCGCUUUCCAUUGCUCUCUUCUCUGCCUUCUGCGCAGCCACAUGUCUGUUCUGACCCAAACCUGGUUCCAAGAGAACAAACACAAGACAAAGGCAGCAGUAUAACCUUUUUAUGUUUAAGUUAAGAAUCCUGUUUCUUUACAGAUAAAAGGCUGCUUCCAACUAAUUAGCUCUGACAAGAAAGAGCCUUGCCAAGUUUUUUUUCAAGUCUGUCAAAAAACAACAGAUAAGAAAUAGUUUACAAGAGUCUUCAAAUACCAACUGUAAUGUCCACGAGGCUGAGUUCAAAACGUCUUUGCCUUCUGCAAAGAAGGUUAGUUUCACAGCUGGCUUUUAUCUUCUUGAAGGAGGGGCCAUUACCUUGCAGCCUUACUCGCGAGUCACCUGUGCUGUUGUAACUGCUCUUUCCUCCGAGCAAUCCUGUGCACAUGCACACUUAGCACAGGUUCCUCGGGAACCUCAUCACUGCUGCCAGCCCCCAGAAUCCCUAAAGGCAGCAGUCUACUCCCUAAUGGUCCUGGCCCCUCAUCUGAGUCCUCGGUCUCCACAGCCAUCUGUACCUGCUGUCGGCUAACCACAACAAUGUCAGGCACUGGACCCAGAUGUUCCUCCUCUUCUUCAUCAACCACCUUCAGACCUGGGGGCUGUUGACUCUCCAUCUGAAGGCUGACGGAUGGCCCAGGCUCCACCUCUAUCUCUCUCUCUCUUCUCUGCCAGCUCCAUUCCCUCUUCCCCAGUUCCCGGGUUGCCCUGAUGCCGACCCUGACUCCCACACUUCCUCCUCCUCCUCCUCCUCUGAUUCGGCUGCUGGAGGAAUUUCCAGUAUUCCGGACAGCAGGGAUAAGGGUGCUUCGGGGUGGCCAUUCAGUAAGGGCUACAACGGCCCUCAGAAAUUCAUUGCUCGGCACCGAAAAGCGUCCUGUUCCUCGAAAAGUUGUGGGAUUUGGGGCUCUUUCGGGCACAACCAGCUACUCUUUUAACCACGCACCAUCUUAAAGGUCUGCCAUUUUUUUGGUUUUGUUUAGACUUGUAUUUUCUUCUCUGCCCCGCGGACGACGACACUACAUGACCCACACAUGUCCCAAAUACUGAAGGGUUCGUCUGAAGGUUUCUAGUCUGGCCUUCUCUGGGACAAGCUUUACACGUGCGCACGGCUGGAAAUGGAAGAUUAGGCCUCCAGAUCGCUUCGAAGUAAACAAGCCUACAAACUCGGCUGUCAAACAUGAUAAAUGUGUACCCAACGGCAGUAGAAGCUCCUCGGGGCUGGGGCUUUUUAUGACUGGGCGUGCGCGAGCGAGGUGGGGGGGAAGAGAAGGAGAGGCGGAAUCCCAGCCGACCGCCUCUCUCAAGCUGGGGGAAGGGACUCUCCCCCGCCCAAUGGCGAAAAUAGCAAGCCCCGCCUCUUCACAGCGGGAGGGCGAGGGAGGUGCCGUUCCUAUUGCCUUAGCAGCCCGAGCGCGCGCUUUUGCAGCUGGAUACUAUUUUAGCCACUGAACGUGCUCCCGCCCUUAGUGAUAAGGUUGGGCUCCUCUCAGCUUCUUUGCCAGCGGCUCUUCUUUCGCGAUUGGCUCUCUCUCUCCCCCCCUCCCUUGGGUCUUCCUCCUUCCCAUCCUCGUCUCUUGGCCUCCAGCGCCAACUCUUCCCGGUUUGGUUUCGGAUUGGUCAAGCUUGCAUCCCAACUCCUCCUUUCAAGCGUUGCGAUUGGAUAGGCGGCCCGGUCGCUGGGAUCUCUGAUUGGACGCCGCUCUUCCCUCGUUGGGCCACCGCUCUUGACAUAAGCCCCAACCUGCAGCUCUGGCUGUUCUGUCGCGGGGGGGGGGAGCUGUUUCCACGUGGGGAGUGGCACGUAGUCACUUUCCGCCCUGCCUGUAAGCCGAAGCGAAGGAGGUUGAGAGCUUUUGCCCGAAUCACGUGGGGCGGUGAGGGGAAGCGGAAUGGAGUGAUCCCUCCGAUUUCUCAAUUGGAAGCGCUUUUGUUGCGUGGCCGCAGCGAUGCUUUUUUUCAAGCGGGAGGGGGAAACUUCAGGCGCAGAUGCUCUCCCGCCCGUCCCGCGGUUGCUGUCAGCUGCCUCUUGAAUGCAUGCAAAACAAACAAGACUUAACCUUGUGGCUGAUGCGCGUGCUUCCUCUUCCUCCCAUUAGUUGUUUAAAACAUAAAAGCUGUCAUAAUAAAUGCUGUUGCGUUUUAUCUUCCAGAACCUGAUCUUUUUUUUCCGAAUAUGCUAAGUAAUCUAGCCUCUGAUUUUCCAGCCAGUAAUACGACUCGAGUCUAGGAAAAUUUAGGCCGCGCUCAGGGAAAACCAGUCGAGGCUUUACAGCAGCAGAAUAGACAGCAG
ensembl:lncRNA